AUACGGAGGGUGCAAGCGUUAAUCGGAAUUACUGGGCGUAAAGCGCGCGUAGGUGGCUUGUUAAGUCAGAUGUGAAAGCCCUGGGCUUAACCUGGGAACUGCAUUUGAUACUGGCAGGCUAGAGUAUGAUAGAGGCAAGUGGAAUUUCCUGUGUAGCGGUGAAAUGCGUAGAUAUAGGAAGGAACACCAGUGGCGAAGGCGACUUGCUGGACCAAUACUGACACUGAGGUGCGAAAGCGUGGGGAGCAAACAGAAUUAGAAACCCCAGUAGUCC
rnacentral:rRNA from 1 species